rnacentral:rRNA from 1 species
CAGUCGCCGCGGUAAUACGGAGGGUGCAAGCGUUAAUCGGAAUUACUGGGCGUAAAGCGCACGCAGGCGGUCUGACAAGUCAGAUGUGAAAUCCCCGGGCUUAACCUGGGAACUGCAUUUGAAACUGUCAGGCUGGAGUCUUGUAGAGGGGGGUAGAAUUCCAGGUGUAGCGGUGAAAUGCGUAGAGAUCUGGAGGAAUACCGGUGGCGAAGGCGGCGCCCUGGACAAAGACUGACGCUCAGGUGCGAAAGCGUGGGGAGCAAACAGGAUUAGAUACCCGCGUAGUCCCUGUCUCUUAUAC